UUAAAGAAUUGACGGACCCGCACAAGCAGCGGAGCGUGUGGUUUAAUCGAGGCUACACGAAGAACCUUACCAGGGUUUGACAUGCAAGUGGUAGGAAUCCGAAAGGUGACCGACCCUUCGGGGAGCUUGCACAGGUGCUGCAUGGCUGUCGUCAGCUCGUGUCGUGAGAUGUUCGGUUAAGUCCGCUAACGAGCGCAACCCUCGUCGUGUGUUAUACGUGUCACACGAUACUGCCGGUAUCAAGCCGGAGGAAGGUGGGGAUGAUGUCAAGUCAGCAUGGCCUUUAUAUCCUGGGCUACACACACGCUACAAUGGCAGAUACAAUAGGUUGCGAAACCGCGAGGUGGAGCCAAUCCUCAAAGUCUGUCUCAGUUCAGAUUGUAGGCUGCAACUCGCCUGCAUGAAGUUGGAGUUGCUAGUAAACGCAGGUCAGCUAUACUGCGUUGAAUACGUUCCCGGGGUUU
rnacentral:rRNA from 1 species